GUAUUGAUUGGUGCUUGCAUCAUGAUUUACAUUUGAGUGAGUGGCGAACUGGUGAGUAACACGUGGGAAACCUGCCCAGAAGCGGGGGAUAACACCUGGAAACAGAUGCUAAUACCGCAUAACAACUUGGACCGCAUGGUCCGAGCUUGAAAGAUGGCUUCGGCUAUCACUUUUGGAUGGUCCCGCGGCGUAUUAGCUAGAUGGUGAGGUAACGGCUCACCAUGGCAAUGAUACGUAGCCGACCUGAGAGGGUAAUCGGCCACAUUGGGACUGAGACACGGCCCAAACUCCUACGGGAGGCAGCAGUAGGGAAUCUUCCACAAUGGACGAAAGUCUGAUGGAGCAACGCCGCGUGAGUGAAGAAGGGUUUCGGCUCGUAAAACUCUGUUGUUAAAGAAGAACAUAUCUGAGAGUAACUGUUCAGGUAUUGACGGUAUUUAACCAGAAAGCCACGGCUAACUACGUGCCAGCAGCCGCGGUAAUACGUAGGUGGCAAGCGUUGUCCGGAUUUAUUGGGCGUAAAGCGAGCGCAGGCGGUUUUUUAAGUCUGAUGUGAAAGCCUUCGGCUCAACCGAAGAAGUGCAUCGGAAACUGGGAAACUUGAGUGCAGAAGAGGACAGUGGAACUCCAUGUGUAGCGGUGAAAUGCGUAGAUAUAUGGAAGAACACCAGUGGCGAAGGCGGCUGUCUGGUCUGUAACUGACGCUGAGGCUCGAAAGUAUGGGUA
rnacentral:rRNA from 1 species